rnacentral:rRNA from 1 species
UACAGAGGUCUCAAGCGUUGUUCGGAUUCAUUGGGCGUAAAGGGCGCGUAGGCGGCGGGGUAAGUCGGGUGUGAAAUCUCAGAGCUCAACUCUGAAAUGGCACUUGAUACUGCUCUGCUAGAGGACUGGAGAGGAGAUUGGAAUUCACGGUGUAGCAGUGAAAUGCGUAGAUAUCGUGAGGAAGACCAGUGGCGAAGGCGGGUCUCUGGACAGUUCCUGACGCUGAAGCACGAAGGCCAGGGGAGCAAACGGG